rnacentral:rRNA from 1 species
AAUUAUUUAAAAUAAUAUUUAAUUGAAUUUGUAAAUAAUUUUUUUAUAAAAAUAUUUUAUUUUUAAUUUGUUUUAGUAUUUAGUAAAAAUAAAUUUUUAGAUUUAUAGUUAAUAAGUAUUGUAAAAGAAAUUUAAUAAAUAAUUAAAAGAUUUAAUUUAAGUACCUUUUGUAUCAGGGUUAAUUAAAAUUUUUAAUUUAUUUUAAUUUCUCAAAAUUUAUAGAGUUAAUUUUAUUAUUAAUUUAUUAUUUUAUCAAUAUUUAAAAAAUAAUUUUAGUUUUGAAAUUUAAUUUCGUUAUAAUAUAUUUAGUUAUUUAAGAUUUAAAUUUAAUUUAUAAUUUUAAAAGUUAUAUUAAUUUUUUUGAUAUUAAUAUUUUAAAUUUAAAUUAUUUUAGGGAUAAGCUUGAAAUUUUUAUAUAAUUUAUGUAUAAAAGAUUAAAUAUUUUAUAGAAAUAGAAAUUUUUAUUUUAAAGUUUGUAAAAAUUUAUUAUUUAAUUUUAUUUAAUUUAUUAUAAUUUAUUUAUUUUUAAUAUUAAAUUUUAUAAUAAAAUAUUUUUUUUAUAGUAAUAAUGAUUAAAUUAGUAUAAUAUUAAUUUAUUAAUUAUGAAUUUGGCAAAAUUUAUUUUCAUCUGUUUAACAAAAACAUUGUAUUAAUUUUUAUUUAAUAUAGGAUCUGCUCAAUGAAUUAAUUUUAAAUAGCUGCAGUAUAAUGACUGUGCAAAGGUAGCAUAAUAAUUAGUUUUUUAAUUGAAAACUUGAAUGAAAGAUUUGAUGAAAAAUAAACUUUAUUAUUAAUAUAUUUAUAAUUUUAUUUUUAAGUAAAAAAGCUUAAAUAAUUUAAAGGGACGAUAAGACCCUAUAAAACUUUAUAAUUUUUAGAUUUAUUUUUUUUUUGUUUAAAUAAAUUAAUUAAUUUUAAUAAUUAUUUUAUUGGGGUGAUAAAAAAAAUUUUUUAACUUUUUUUAAAUUAAACAUUAUUAAAUGAUUAUUUGAAUUAAAAAUUUUAAUUAAAGGAAAAAGUUACUUUAGGGAUAACAGCGUAAUUAAUUUUUUAAGUUCAAAUUUUAAAAUUAGU